rnacentral:rRNA from 1 species
ACGGCUCAGUAACACGUGGCUAAUCUGCCCUUAGGACGAGAACAACCCCGGGAAACUGGGGCUAACUCUCGAUAGGCGAGGAACUCUGGAAUGAGUCUUUACCUAAAUAGUGCAACGUUAUCCUCGUUGCAUCGCCUAAGGAUGAGGCCGCGACCGAUCAGGUUGUCGGCGAGGUAAUGGCUCACCAAGCCUUUUACCGGUGCGGGCCGUGAGAGCGGGAGCCCGGAGAUGGGCACUGAGACAAGGGCCCAGGCCCUACGGGGCGCAGCAGUCGCGAAAACUUUGCAUUAAGCGAAAGCUUGACAGGGCUAUCCCGAGUGCCAUCCGCUGAGGAAGGCUUUUACCCAGUCUAGAACGCUGGGGGAAUAAGGAGAGGGCAAGUCUGGUGUCAGCCGCCGCGGUAAUACCAGCUCUCCGAGUGGUGUGGAUGUUUAUUGGGCCUAAAGCAUCCGUAGCUGGCUAGGUCGGUCCCUUGUUAAAUCCACCGAAUUAAUCGUUGGAUUGCGGGGGAUACUGCUUGGCUAGGGGACGAGAGAGGCAGACGGUAUUUUCGGGGUAGGGGUGAAAUCCUAUAAUCCCGGGAAGACCGCCAGUGGCGAAGGCUGUCUGCUAGAACGCGCCCGACGGUGAGGGAUGAAAGCUGGGGGAGCGAACCGGAUUAGAUACCCGGGUAGUCCCAGCUGUAAACGAUGCAGACUAGGUGUUUGGACGGCCACGUGCCGUUCUAGUGCCGCAGGGAAGCUGUUAAGUCUGCCGCCUGGGGAGUACGAUCAGAUUGAAACUUAAAGGAAUUGGCGGGGGAGCAC